GUACCGCACGGGUACGGUCGGUGAAAAGGGAACGGGGUGCGAAUCCCCGACGGUACACCUGCCGCUGUAUGUACCUCUUGCGCCCGUCGGCGAAAGCCGGUCAUUGGGAAACCGAGAAGGCAGAGCGCAAGCGAAAAAAGGGUACGAGUCAGAAGACCUGCUUUGACG
rnacentral:ncRNA from 1 species